rfam:Musa acuminata subsp. malaccensis Doubled-haploid Pahang (DH-Pahang) genomic chromosome, chr10
GGAACAAUGUAUGCAAGGGAAGUCGGCAAAACUGAUCCGUAACUUCGGGAAAAGGAUUGGCUCUGAGGGCUGGGCACGGGGGUCUCGGCCCCGAACCCGUCGGCUGUCGACGGACUGCUCGAGCUGCUCUCGCGGCGAGAGCGGGUCGCCGCGUGCCGGCCGGGGGACGGACCGGGAACGACCCCCUCGGGGGCCUUCCCCGAGCGUCGAACAGCCGAUAUGGCAUAAGUUGUGGAGAGGUCUUCCUCGGGCCUUCCUCGGGGGCCUUCC